UUUAAAGGCAAGAUGAACAUAAAUAUAAGCGGCUGCCACUUCUUGUUGUCGAUACAUUGUAGUUUUGACAGGAGAUGGAAAAACAGCGAAUCGAGAUGGAAAAACAGCGAAUCGAGCAACCAUGCCACAUGUCAGUGUUCGCAGCAAUGUUCGAUGUACGGUUCUGGUUGUGUCUCGCCAUUCGCUUCACCGUUCUGUUUGCAUGUGUGUACGAGGCUUUAAAUAGCAAAUAGCACUAUAAAUACUGGUUAAAAAAAUACGUUUUGCUUAUAGGGUUAUUUGUAGUGAAUUGUUUUUCACAUUUUAGAAGUGAUCAUGCAUGUGCAGAUUAAAGAUGAA
rnacentral:lncRNA from 1 species